ACAUGCAGUCGAGGGGCAGCAUGAACUUAGCUUGCUAAGUUUGAUGGCGACCGGCGCACGGGUGAGUAACGUGUAUCCAACCUGCCCUUUACUCGGGGAUAGCCUUCUGAAAGGAAGUUUAAUACCCGAUGAAUUCGUUUAGUCGCAUGGCUUGAUGAAGAAAGAUUUAUCAGUAAAGGAUGGGGAUGCGUCCCAUUAGCUUGUUGGCGGGGUAACGGCCCACCAAGGCGACGAUGGGUAGGGGUUCUGAGAGGAAGGUCCCCCACAUUGGAACUGAGACACGGUCCAAACUCCUACGGGAGGCAGCAGUGAGGAAUAUUGGUCAAUGGGCGCGAGCCUGAACCAGCCAAGUAGCGUGGAGGACGACGGCCCUACGGGUUGUAAACUCCUUUUAUAAGGGGAUAAAGUUGGCCAUGUAUGGCCAUUUGCAGGUACCUUAUGAAUAAGCAUCGGCUAAUUCCGUGCCAGCAGCCGCGGUAAUACGGAAGAUGCGAGCGUUAUCCGGAUUUAUUGGGUUUAAAGGGAGCGUAGGCGGGCAGUCAAGUCAGCGGUCAAAUGGCGCGGCUCAACCGCGUUCCGCCGUUGAAACUGGCAGCCUUGAGUAUGCACAGGGUACAUGGAAUUCGUGGUGUAGCGGUGAAAUGCUUAGAUAUCACGAGGAACUCCGAUCGCGCAGGCAUUGUACCGGGGCAUUACUGACGCUGAGGCUCGAAGGUGCGGGUAUCAAACAGGAUUAGAUACCCUGGUAGUCCGCACAGUAAACGAUGAAUGCCCGCUGUCGGCGACAUAGUGUCGGCGGCCAAGCGAAAGCGUUAAGCAUUCCACCUGGGGAGUACGCCGGCAACGGUGAAACUCAAAGGAAUUGACGGGGGCCCGCACAAGCGGAGGAACAUGUGGUUUAAUUCGAUGAUACGCGAGGAACCUUACCCGGGCUUGAAUCGCAGGUGCAUGGG
rnacentral:rRNA from 1 species